rnacentral:rRNA from 5 species
GUGAACCUGCUGCUGGAUCAUUA